CUGGGCAGAAGCCACAGCCAAGAGAAGCAUGAAGAAAGAGCACGAGAGUGAAGAUGAGGAUGAAAGUGAAGAUCUGUUGCGAAGGACGGGUAACUUCAUCGGCUCGUCUGACAGCCUGCCGAAGGGAAUUAUUAAG